AGGUAGAGCAACUCACUUGUAAUGAGAAGGUCGGCGGUUCGAUUCCGUCAAUCAGCACCAAGGCCCUGUAGCUGGA
rnacentral:tRNA from 1 species